GCAAUAAUUCCUCUUGGAAUUGCCUUGUGAUAUUUGGAAAAGUAAAUCACAGUCUUUUCAGGUCAAUUACCUAAUUUUGCACAAUCACAAGGUAUGACCUUAGGUUAGGAAGGUAUUAUGAAUGAAAGCUAACCAUCCAUUGUCUGAUGCCUGUUCCCUUGCAUGCUUUUAGUACACAACAAGUAUGAGAUAAUGUGACUUAAUUUAUCCCAUGGUGGAAGAAUUUUCAGUGUAAUUGCAUUAACUUUGUAUUUCCUGAAGAGUAAAAUAUACACGUGGACAGGUGUUGUGUGUGUAAGAUGCUACAACUUGUGCUUACUUAUAAAUCUCUGGACAACAGUGUUACCAGAUAUAAUUGUGCCACUUGAAGGUUUUGCCAGUUUAUACUUCCACGGUCCCCCUCUGAUGCUGCUCUUACUGCUGCCUUAGCUCUGCUGGUAAAAAGGUUUGUUUAGGAGCACUUUCAUUUGCUUCAGGCAAAGCGAGCAGGUUAGUUUAAGCCCUCUUUGUUGACUAAUCCAUCUGACUUGUUGGAAGCACACGAGGGAAUGCUCACUUAAUUCCUUCUGCCAACAGAGCUGCGGGGGCGGAAACUCGGCAGAGGAGUGGUGAGGAGCAACUGGAAGAAUGAUAAUGUCACUGAGCAGCCGGCACACCUGUCUGCGAGCUGAGUGCCAGCACAUGACUUACUCCUGUCUGAGCCAUGGGUAUUGUAGCUCAUCCAAACAGAACCAGGUGGAGUGACGGCAUCUUUG
rnacentral:lncRNA from 12 species